UCUUGGUAUUCAGAUACAGUACAAACAAAAACACACAGAUGAACUAUUCACGUGAAUAACACAAUAAACUAUUCUUAGAUGUGCUAUUCAUAUACUCAUGGAAACGAAAUAAGGGAAAACCUGAAAGUACAAAGCGUUUCUUUAUCUAUUUCCAGAUUUUCAUCCCCAGCGAAAACUAUAAAGCAUGACAAGAAACCUGGAAAAGAGUAUAGGGACACUGCGCUCUUGUGUGUUCCUUUAUUCGUUUCCCUGAAUAUAUGGAGUGCAAUAAAAGUGGAUACUGAGAUGAGUUAUUCAUAUAAUGAAACAAUAUCAAACAUAGAAAGGGCGGUGGGGUAGCCUAGCGGUUAAGGCGUUGGCUCGUCAUGCUGAAGACCUGUGUUCGAUUCCCGACAUGGGCACAAUGUGUGAAGCUCGUUUCUGGUGUCCCCUGCCCUGAUACUGAUGGAAUAUUGCUAAAAGCAGUGUAAAACUAAAUUCACUCACUCACUCACUCAAACAUAGAAAAGUGACCAGUUGACCAGAGGUUCCCAGGGUCAGACUCAUGUUUUCUGUUAAAACUAAAAGUAGAACUAUGAUGAUUCAGCAUUUAUUGAUUUUCCGUCCUGUCCUGGCGUUUCAAACAUGUACAUGACAUUUGUAUUGAAUUGUCUGUGAGGUCAACAUUUAUUACUGCGUCUUUGAUUUUGUCAUAAUAAUAAUAUGUGCUUUCAUGGUGGUAAAGUAUUUA